CAGCCGCGGUAAUACGUAAGGUCCGAGCGUUGUCCGGAAUCAUUGGGCGUAAAGGGUACGUAGGCGGGUAAGCAAGUUAGAAGUGAAAUCCUAUAGCUCAACUAUAGUAAGCUUUUAAAACUGUUUAUCUUGAGGUAUGGAAGGGAAAGUGGAAUUCCUAGUGUAGCGGUGAAAUGCGCAGAUAUUAGGAGGAAUACCGGUGGCGAAGGCGACUUUCUGGCCAUAACCUGACGCUGAGGUACGAAAGCGUGGGUAGCAAACAGGAUUAGAUACCCUGGUAGUCAAGGGCG
rnacentral:rRNA from 1 species